rnacentral:lncRNA from 1 species
UACUGUAGAAAUUCUACAUCAUCAGUUUGCAGCAGGAGGUCCUCUGUGCCUUGUCUAAGGUUGUUGUGUGUUUUGCCCUUUUUCUGGCAUGAAUAGGGAAAAUUGAUGCGGAAGUGAUAAAAUAACAAUGAGAUCAAAUUCUAAAUAGCAGUACUUUAAAAAAUAAAAUUAAUACACACAUUAAAAUGCUUUAUUACAUUUGGUUGAAGCAGCAAUUAAAACAUUUCUAUUUUUAGUUUUGAAACAAAUCUAAUUUACUAACAGAUGGUUGACCCAAGACACGCUGGAGAGAUUAUAUCUCUCGGCUGGCCUGGGAACGCCUUGGUGUUCCCCCGGAUAAGCUGGAGGAGGUGGUUGGGGAGAGGGAGGUCUGGGCUUCUCUGCUUAGGCUGCUGCCCCCGCGACCCAGCCCCAGAUAAAGCAGAAGAUGGAUGGAUGGAUGGAUGGAUGGAUGGUUGAGACAUUUGCUUUCACUGUUCAUUAUCAUUAUCAGCUACCAUCUCAAACUCAUGAGCAUGAAACAUUUCCUCAUACCAGAACAAUUUACUAGACAUUGUAUAGGACGCUAUGCUGGAAACAGCAAAUAGAUAAAAGGAGGAGAGUCAGAGAGAGGCUGUGUUUGACGUACAAGUGUCUUUGUGAAGACUAACAGAUUGACCAUGUCGCUCUCCGUGGUGCUGCUGCUGCUGCUGCAUCUGACGGUCUGCAACUCGCAGAAUAUCGAUUUCUUCGUUAAAAAUUUAAAUGGCUUUGUUGGCGCAAUCAACUUCUAUACAAAAGAGAAGUAUGUAAAUGAUUCCUCCUCGCUGACCAUUCGCCUAAUGGGGAACAAUCUCAACUGCACUCCCGAUUUCUCAUUUGAUUGCCAAAAUAGCAGCUGUGGGUAUGUGAACACUUUGGUACGCACGGUCGACCAAGAAGGCAGCGGAGAGUGGUGUCAGAAUGAACUUAGGUCUGUUCAGCCAUCUCCCAUUAAUGUGGUUGAUUCACUGAGCAUCCCUGGUGUUAAUUGGGUUAGUGGCAUCAAAAACAACAUUGGAUCAUGGAGAACUGCAGUAGCAUUCGACCUGAGGAACCGCUCUGACACCAGAAAAGAAAACUCCUCACCCCAGUCUACCGUGAUCCCAUUUGUGAGAGUUCCUUCAAACUGUCGGAGAGAUUUCAGCCCGUUGAUGUUUGACCCUGAUGGUGAUCAGGUUAAAUGCAGAUAUGGAAACACAUCGUCUGUCACGGUCUGCCAUGCAGACCGUGGGGACGAGGAAAGUAGGACCCAAAACGCGGGACUCUUCGAUGCCACAGUGCACUUUAUUUACAGUGACCAGACAGGUAAGUCCAACAAUAAACUCAAAGGUGCAAUAUUCCAAUGGUGCUCGUCUCCUGCUCCCAGUGCGUCCCGUGCUGUAGCUCCCUUAGUGCGUGUGCUCCCCAACUCGCUUCUCCGCUCGGCUAUCCUGGAGGAAGACAGAGAGUCCACAAUUAGCCACACGCUAGCCGACAAACACGCUCACGCUGCUCGCACGGACUAUACCAGUUCGGAGUAA